rnacentral:rRNA from 1 species
GACAGAGGGUGCAAACGUUGCUCGGAAUCACUGGGCGUAAAGGGCGUGUAGGCGGGAAGGAAAGUCAGAUGUGAAAUCCCUGGGCUCAACCCAGGAACUGCAUUUGAAACUCCCUUUCUUGAGUGUCGGAGAGGAGAGUGGAAUUCCUGGUGUAGCGGUGAAAUGCGCAGAUAUCAGGAAGAACACCAAUGGCGAAGGCAGCUCUCUGGGACGGUACUGACGCUGAGACGCGAAAGCGUGGGGAGCGAACAGG